CUGCUAUCGGGAUAGGACUAAAACAUGCUAUUCAAGCGCUCUCAAGCCAAUGUGAGAGUGCGGCGCACAGCUCAGUAACACGUGGCUAACCUGCCCUUAGGACGGGGACCCCCCCGGGAAACUGGGGUUAAUCCCCGAUAGGUGAAAAACUCUGGAAUGAUUCUUUGCCCAAAAAACGCUUACACUAUGCUGGGGGGCGCCGCCUAAGGAUGGGGCCGCGACCGAUCAGGUUGUUGGUGAGGCAAAGGCUCACCAAGCCUUUUACCGGUGCGGGCCGGGGGAGCGGGACCCCGGAGAUGGGCACUGAAACAAGGGCCCAGGCCCUACGGGGCGCAGCAGUCGCGAAAACUUUGCAAUACACGAAAGUGUGACGGGGCUAUCCCGAGUGCCAUCCGCUGAGGAAGGUUUUUACCCAGUGUAAAAAGCUGGGAAAAUAAGGAGAGGGCAAGACUGGUGUCACCCGCCGCGGUAAUACCACCUCUCCGAGUGGGGUGGAUGUUUAUUGGGCCUAAAGCAUCCGUAGCUGGCUGGGCAAGUCCCCUGUUAAAUCCACCGAUUCAAUCGUUGGUGUGCGGGGAAUACUGUUCGGCUAGGGGACGGGAGAGGCCGACGUUAUUUUCGGGGUAGGGGUGAAAUCCUAUAAUCCCGGGAAGACCACCAGUGGCAAAGGCUGUCGGCUACAACGCGCCCAACGGUGAGGGAUGAAAGCUGGGGGAGCGAACAGGAUUAAAUACCCGGGUAGUCCCAGCUGUAAACGAUGCAGGCUAGGUGUUUGGGCGGCCACGCCCCGCUCUAUUGCCGCAAAGAAUUUGUUAACCCUGGCGCCUGGGGGAGUACGGGUCGCAAAGCUGAAACUUAAAGGAUUGGGCGGGGGGAGCACCACAAGGGGUGAAGCUUGCGGUUAAUU
rnacentral:rRNA from 1 species